GCUGCAGUCAUUAAGGCAGGUGUUUCUAGAGAGCAUGAAAUCCUGGCUGAAAUAUGAGAUGUUUUUUCUUUCAUUCGCAAAAUGGAGCCCAGAAGAGUGAUGGAUCCGAUGCUUGUCUCUCGUGUUAGGAUUUUCUAUAUAAUGUCACUGCUUGCUCGAUCACCAGAGCUACAAUCAAUUAAGGUUUCUCCGGUUGAGCGCUUUCUUGAGAAGCCAAAUAAUGGACGUAGUAGAAGCUCUAGCCGUGGUAGCAGCCUUGGAAGAUCUCCAGUUCAUUACGAUUCUAGUUCAAGGAAUAUGCUGGUUGGGGACCAAAUUUAAGGUUCAAAGUAAAUAUAAAACCAGAAAAGAAGUCAAAGUUGUCAUCAGUAGUUCUGAAGAUACGUGGAAUUGAUCAGGAGACCUGGCGACAGCAUAUAGCAGGUGGAAAGCUCAAGGAAAUAACCGAAGAAGCAAAAAUUUAUUCAAUUGGAAAAAAGGCACUUGCGGCUCUUUUUGUUCAUACCCUGCUGGCGCGCUCCAGCGUCAAAUUCGAAAUUGGCUUGUAGAGAACUUCGAUUUCCUUUCCAUUGCUGAUGACAUGGCUGCAAGAGCAACUGGUCAGCUGGAAAUUCUCUCUACAGCAAUAAUGGAUGGUUGGAUGGCUGGACUUGGUGCAGCCCAGCCUCCGACUACCGAUGCUCUUGGACAGCUGUCUGAAUAUGCCAGAUAUCUUUAUACUUCACAGCUGCAACAUUUGUAGGAUAUUGCUGGUACUUUGGCGACUGAAGCAGCGGAAGACUCUGCUCAAGUAGCUAAGCUAAGUUCAACUCUUGAAUAUUGUUGAUCACAAGAGAAGAAAUGUUUGUAUCAUAGCGCGCUGGCUCUCUUUAUCUUGGUUGCCUCACUUCUCAAAUACUGAAAUUCCGCAAACACCGUUUACUCGAAUUAGAUUUUACAACAAAUGAAAAACGACGCGGAGAUGUUAAAUUUAGAAAGUGGUGCUGCACCUAUUCGGAAUCCUUCCACUGUUGUUGAAGAUGCAAGGCUAGUGUUGUUAAUCUCCCUCGACAGCAUACUGAAGCAAGUCAAGGGUUUUCAUCUUUCUCCAAUUUCUCCUCUUUUAACUUUCUGACAGAUGUCGUCUCAGAUGCUUCAAAAUUUUGGUCAUUCAUCAUGAAGUGUGUUUAUAGUGUUUGUAUUUUCUGUAUGUAAUUUGUGUAGUGUUUUUUUAAUGUAUGUGUAAGUGUGCGUAUUUGUGUGGUGUAUAGAGGUGUGCAAUGUGUAUUGGGUGCUAUGAUGUAUAGUACAUAGUACGUACGCAGAGUUAUUCAUUAUUUUUAUAGUGCGUCAUAUGUUUAUUUGUGUA